GAAAGGACCACUCGACGCCGGCAGGGCAAACUGCCGCUUCUCAUUCCAGAAGGAAGCUUACGGCCAGAGACACCUCUUCUGGCGGCAAAGUUUGCAACUGAAUGCAUUGUCACAGUCAGACACCAUAUGCCCGUGUUUAAGCACUGGAAGGAUUACAAGGACCCAAAUGGAAAUGUCAGAGAUGGGAUCUUCAGGAACUUUGUAGGCAAAGUUGGUAACAAGUUUCAGAUGGACCUAGAUGCGGUGCCAGUUAGGAAGGCUUGCACAAAAAUGCUGAAACGCGCGACUCACCAACAACGAUAUAGGCUCAAGAAAGAGUAUUUUGAUCCUCACGCACCCCAUUUGGUGAGGAGAACUUCUUCGGUCCCCUCGAUGACUAAUGACCAGUGGAACGAGCUGGUGGAAAGCUGGAAGGAUCCCAAAAAGAUGGGGAUAUCUCAAAUUAACAAAGCUAAUCGAGCUCAAGUUAAGUUCCACCAAACUACUGGAGCGCGUAGCUACCCUGUGCACUGUGGAAAUCUGGGAGACAAAUACAAGGAUAAAGAACCAACUGCAGUGGAUUUGUUCAAGGAGUGCCACUAUAGCAAGAAAAAGAAAGGUUACACCAAUGUUGUGCUGGAUGCAAUUAUA
rnacentral:rRNA from 1 species